rnacentral:rRNA from 1 species
GAUGAACGCUGGCGGCGUGCUUAACACAUGCAAGUCGAACGGAAAGGCUCCUGCUUGCAGGGGUACUCGAGUGGCGAACGGGUGAGUAACACGUGGGUGAUCUGCCCUGCACUUCGGGAUAAGCCUGGGAAGCUGGGUCUAAUACCGGAUAGGACGAUGGUCUGGAUGCCAUUGUGGAAAGUUUUUCGGUGUGGGAUGAGCUCGCGGCCUAUCAGCUUGUUGGUGGGGUAAUGGCCUACCAAGGCGUCGACGGGUAGCCGGCCUGAGAGGGUGUACGGCCACAUUGGGACUGAGAUACGGCCCAGACUCCUACGGGAGGCAGCAGUGGGGAAUAUUGCACAAUGGGCGCAAGCCUGAUGCAGCGACGCCGCGUGGGGGAUGACGGCCUUCGGGUUGUAAACUCCUUUCGCUAGGGACGAAGCGCAAGUGACGGUACCUGGAGAAGAAGCACUGGCUAACUACGUG